rnacentral:lncRNA from 1 species
GGAAACCUCAGCCCCCUCAAGAUUAGAACCACCAAGUCCACAGAGCACAGCUGGCUGAACACUCGUCUGUGCCGAUGAUCUCUUGCUCUGCUUCUGCAGUUCUGCUGAAGGUGCUGCGAUUCUGGGGCCAUGAGUAGGUUAAAUAAAUCUGAUUACAACACAAUGGAAGGACAAAAAGAUGUUUAAAGGGCGAUUCACUAACUAUAACUAAAGAGUCUGAUAUGUUCAGUACCUCUGCUUCUCCUAUGAGGCCUUUCGAGCAAUGCCAGCAGUGAUACCUGAUAACUGAUGAUCUCUUCAAGAACUAUUCAAUGCUCCAGCACUGAAUCAAGGAGACUACCAGAUCCACAGACAAAACCGACCUGAAAAUAAACAUUUGGUUAUGAAAAACAAUACAUUUUGCUAAUAUGUAACUAGGGACCAGUCGAAAUUUACUAGCGUGGUAGCAAACAGCUCAUUGAUGUGUCAAGACUACAAAUUUUAACUCUCUGUAGAACAUGGUUUAUAAUCUUUUAACUGCUCAGUUACUUACAAAACCUUUACGGUUAACUCCAAGAAACAGCUCACAAUAUGAUGCAGUUUUCCCCACGCAUAAAUUAAAGACAUCAUGAUGUAGGUUAUUCAUCAUUGGCUGCCUGAGCAAACAAUUUAAAGUGAGAAUGAAAACAAUUCAUCCCAGAGACUAUAUUUUUAUCAUCAGGACGAACUGACUGUAAACCAUACUUUAUAAAGAUUAAAAUAC